rnacentral:tRNA from 1 species
CAAGUUACUAUCAUAGGAUAUGUUAUUAUUUACAUUAAUAAUACAUUUGUGCAAUUCAAAUUAGCUUGA